rnacentral:tRNA from 1 species
AGCUAAACCAACAGAAAACAUUAUGUUUUGAAACCAUAAAACAGAGGUUAAAUUCCUCUUUUAGCUU